rnacentral:rRNA from 1 species
CGCGUAGGCGGUUUGUUAAGUCGGCUGUGAAAGCCCGGGGCUCAACCCCGGAGGGUCAGCCGAUACUGGCAGACUAGAGUACGGAAGAGGUAGCUGGAAUUCCCGGUGUAGCGGUGAAAUGCGUAGGUAUCGGGAGGAACACCUGAGGCGAAGGCGGGCUACUGGGCCGAUACUGACGCUGAUGCGCGAAAGCCAGGGGAGCGAACG